UCAAGCCCUAUUCUCUAUCGUCUCACCCUUCCUGGCGGCUGCGCCUACUGGGUGUAGCACGACGAGCGGGGAACGGCGGACCCUGAGUGACGACGGGGAACGGCGGGCCCUGAGUGAUGCCGGGGAACGGCGUUGAUCCUGAGUGGCGGUGGGGAAAGGCAUGCGUGGUUGGCUUCGUCCAUGAUGCAGGUACUUCUUGUCGGAGAGCAGCGCGGCGGCGGCAACAAAGGGAGCAACGAUGGCCUCGUUUUCAACAUGCGCAGUGUGGUUGGAGCGGCGGCGGUGUUCAUUGUUUGUCAGCGCUCCCCGGCGCCGGUGCUGGACCAAGAUCUCGUGUACCACUAUUUUUCAGUCGUUGGAUGCUUCAGAAGCAAAGGUGGGUGCCAGUUGACUCGAUGGUUCAGAGGCAGAGGUGGGUGCCAGUUGACUCGAUGGUUCAGAGUUAGAGGUGGAUGCCAAAUUGAACUACACUCUUCUUGAUGUGUUCCUGAUGGAUGUGGCGGUUCUGGACUAAACCAUGGAGACAUCUCCUUCCGCAUUGACAUUUAUUCUGUUUUUCCUUUUAGAUCCAAGGAUGUGAUUUAAAAGUUAAAACCUUGCACUUUCUGUCAUUGUACGACAAUAUGAGACUAUCUAAUGCCUAUAACUAUAGUUUUUCUUGCAGAGUUGUUUGGUUUUCUUUCUCUUUUACUGGAUAUUUUUAUUCUUGCUAUCGCUUAUCUUAAGUUACUGCAGGUGGAGCAAGGAGGAACAAUCAGCAGAUUUAGCAUUUAUUUUGCUAAAAAUGCAUGUUAUUGUAAUUAAAAUCAAUGUGCCUUUAAUCAGCAGGCUAUCGUGGAUUCCUGGUGGUCUCGUUGAGUCAUUGUUGGAUAUGGCUGGAAGGUUGGCAAAUGUCGUUGGAUGGUACCACUCACACCCUGGUUAUAGAUGAUGGUUGCCAUGCAUUGAUGUUUCUACUCAGAUGCUUCAUCAUCAGUUUACAGAGCCAUUUUUUGUUGUUAUCAUAGGCUCUGCAAGGACUAUUUCUGCUGGUAAAGUGUAAACUGGAGCUUUUAUGACAUAACCCAAAAAUUAUGGCCUCCUGACAAGCGUUUGUACAAGCUUCAUACCAUACCACAAAGCAAGAUAGAAUAUUUUGGUGUUCACUACAAACAUGUAACUAGAUUAAUUGUCAAUAUUUUCUUUUGCUAAAAUAUGUGCCUUAGUUCUAUUGUAAUUGUAUUUUUUAUUGUAGUACUAAUCUUUGGACAUAACUUAUUUCAAGUCAUUCAAGGACUCUCACCUCCUGAUCUAUUCUAUAAAAGUGAUGAGUAAACAGGGUUUGUGCUGCUGGACAAAACUUUGAUUUAGGAAGGAUUAUGUUAGCAUCAUGCACGAAGAACCUAAUGUUUGUGCAUUGGCUUCUGAAUAUGGAUCAUAUGUUAAAUGUUGAUCUACGCACCAUGUUAGUGUUCGUGCUUUUGCAAUGGAUGAGGAAAGAGGUACCAGAUGAAUAUGAAAUCAAUGCUUAAAGCACCGAGAUAGUUAUGCUUCUGUCCUGGAAUUUUCUGAGAAAUGCCAGAAGAAUUGACCACCGCACGCCUUGAAGGAGAGAGCAGCUUAAUGAGAGAAGCAGGUGUAAAGUGAAUUUGAGAGCCAAUCCAUCUUUUAAGUAGUUGUAUGCAUGCAUUAAAGUAGGAGAGUAAGUCAAUUUCUCUAUAUGGUUGAAGCUGAUUACCCGUACUAGAUUUAGAUGUGCGCCUUGGCGCACGACCCUGUGAAGAUCAUGCCAAUAUUUAUUUCGUAUAACAGCGAUAAAAAUAGCAGCUAAUAUGAGAACGCAUUUCUUAGAUUCCACUGGAAGCAAUUAAGAUAGAAAUCAUGAAUCUCAUACUCUUAGUUAUUGAA